AUGCAGUUGGGGACUCCGCGGGGCAUUCCCAUCUGCCUGGUGGUGUCGGGCGUCGGGCUGGCCUUGCCUCGGCUCUUUCUCCCCCUCCCGGCGUCCUGGCGCCGCCUCCUCGCCUCCGUGGUGGAUCCCUGCCCAGAUCCGGUGGAUGGUGGGGUUGGUGUUGGCAGCGGUGGCCGGCGGCCCAGGCAUGGUGGCAGCGAGUCUCGCGGCCUUUGGGCAUCGUGGAAGUGCCGGCGACGGCGAGUGCUUAGCCUGGUGGUGGCGGCGGCCGUGCACGGGAGUUGGAUACCUUCGAAAGAUCUGGGUGAAAACUUGUUUUCGGCUAUUGCUAAGGCCGGCGGUGGCGGCGGCGCUAUCUGCAUCUUUUCCUUCUUGAAGGCAUCACCGUGGAGAAGUUCAAGGCCACUCUCUGCUACCUUCGAGGGAAACCCUAAAUCGGAUGAUCGGAUGCGGCGGCGCUCUAGUGCCUCUCCCUCCUUUGGGGCGUCAUUCUUGAAGGUACACACGUGA
rnacentral:rRNA from 1 species